GAUGAACGCUGGCGGCGUGCCUAAUACAUGCAAGUCGAGCGAACAGACGAGGAGCUUGCUCCUCUGACGUUAGCGGCGGACGGGUGAGUAACACGUGGAUAACCUACCUAUAAGACUGGGAUAACUUCGGGAAACCGGAGCUAAUACCGGAUAAUAUAUUGAACCGCAUGGUUCAAUAGUGAAAGACGGUUUUGCUGUCACUUAUAGAUGGAUCCGCGCCGCAUUAGCUAGUUGGUAAGGUAACGGCUUACCAAGGCAACGAUGCGUAGCCGACCUGAGAGGGUGAUCGGCCACACUGGAACUGAGACACGGUCCAGACUCCUACGGGAGGCAGCAGUAGGGAAUCUUCCGCAAUGGGCGAAAGCUUGACGGAGCAACGCCGCGUGAGUGAUGAAGGUCUUCGGAUCGUAGAACUCUGUUAUUAGGGAAGAACAAAUGUGUAAGUAACUAUGCACGUCUUGACGGUACCUAAUCAGAAAGCCACGGCUAACUACGUG
rnacentral:rRNA from 1 species